rnacentral:rRNA from 1 species
GACGAACGCUGGCGGCGUGCUUAACACAUGCAAGUCGAGCGGAAAGGCCCUUUCGGGGGUACUCGAGCGGCGAACGGGUGAGUAACACGUGAGUAAUCUGCCCUGGACUUCGGGAUAGCUUCGGGAAACCGAGAUUAAUACCGGAUAUGACAUUGUCUCGCAUGGGAUGGUGUGGAAAGUUUUUUCGGUUCAGGAUGUGCUCGCGGCCUAUCAGCUUGAUGGUGGGGUAAUGGCCUACCAUGGCUUUGACGGGUAGCCGGCCUGAGAGGGUGACCGGUCACACUGGGACUGAGACACGGCCCAGACUCCUACGGGAGGCAGCAGUGGGGAAUAUUGGACAAUGGGCGGAAGCCUGAUCCAGCAACGCCGCGUGAGGGAUGACGGCCUUCGGGUUGUAAACCUCUUUCAGCACAGACGAAGCGAAAGUGACGGUAUGUGCAGAAGAAGGACCGGCCAACUACGUGCCAGCCGCCGCCGUAACAC